GAUGAACGCUAGCUACAGGCUUAACACAUGCAAGUCGAGGGGUAACGAGAGGAAAGCUUGCUUUCCUUGUCGACGACCGGCGCACGGGUGAGUAACGCGUAUCCAACCUGCCCCCAACUAAGGAAUAACCUUGCGAAAGUACGACUAAUACCUUAUAAUUUCCUCAGAUGACAUCUGACGAGGAAUAAAGAUUUAUCGGUUGUGGAUGGGGAUGCGUCUGAUUAGCUUGUUGGCGGGGUAACGGCUCACCAAGGCAACGAUCAGUAGGGGUUCUGAGAGGAAGGUCCCCCACAUUGGAACUGAGACACGGUCCAAACUCCUACGGGAGGCAGCAGUGAGGAAUAUUGGUCAAUGGGCGGAAGCCUGAACCAGCCAAGUAGCGUGCAGGAUGACGGCCCUAUGGGUUGUAAACUGCUUUUAUACAGGAAUAAAGUUAGCCACGUGUGGUUAUUUGUAGGUACUGUAUGAAUAAGGACCGGCUAAUUCCGUGCCAGCCGCCGCCGUAA
rnacentral:rRNA from 1 species